UACGGAGGGUGCAAGCGUUAUCCGGAUUCACUGGGUUUAAAGGGUGCGUAGGUGGGCAGGUAAGUCAGUGGUGAAAUCUCCGGGCUUAACUCGGAAACUGCCAUUGAUACUAUCUGUCUUGAAUACCGUGGAGGUCAGCGGAAUAUGUCAUGUAGCGGUGAAAUGUUUAGAUAUGACAUAGAACACCAAUUGCGAAGGCAGCUGGCUACACGAAUAUUGACACUGAUGCACGAAAAGCGUGGGGAUCAAACAGG
rnacentral:rRNA from 1 species